rnacentral:snRNA from 1 species
AUUGCUUCUUGGCCUUUUGGCUAAGAUCAAGUGUAGGAAAGUUCUGGGAUAUAAUUAGUUCGUGCUAGACAUUUGGCACUAAAUCAUGAGAUUAUUAAUUAUUUUAAAUUUAUUUGAACUAAC